rnacentral:rRNA from 1 species
AUUGAACGCUGGCGGCAGGCCUAACACAUGCAAGUCGAGCGGAGCGGCGGACGGGUGAGUAAUGCCUAGGAAUCUGCCUGGCAGUGGGGGAUAACGUCCGGAAACGGGCGCUAAUACCGCAUACUCUCAGAUGAGCCUAGGUCGGAUUACCUAGUUGGUGGGGUAAGGGCCUACCAAGGCAACGAUCCGUAACUGGUCUGCGAGGAUGAUCAGUCACACGGGAACUGAGACACGGUCCAGACUCCUACGGGAGGCAGCAGAGGGGAAUAUUGGACAAUGGGAGAAAGCCUGAACCAGCCAUGCCGCGUGUGUGAAGAAGGUCUUCGGAUUGUAAAGCACUUUAAGUUGGGAAGCGUUACCAAAAGAAUAAGCACCGGCUAACUUCGUGCCAGCAGCCGCGGUAAUUA